GACGAACGCUGGCGGCGUGCUUAACACAUGCAAGUCGAACGGUGAAGCGCCUUCCUUUUUGGUGGGUGUGGAUGAGUGGCGAACGGGUGAGUAACACGUGAGUAACCUGCCCCCUUCUUCUGGAUAACCGCAUGAAAGUGUGGCUAAUACGGGAUAUUCUGGGUCUGUCGCAUGAUGGGUCUGGGAAAGAUAUUGUUUCGGUGGGGGAUGGGCUCGCGGCCUAUCAGCUUGUUGGUGGGGUGAUGGCCUACCAAGGCGGUGACGGGUGGCCGGCCUGCGAGGGUGGACGGUCACACUGGGACUGAGACACGGCCCAGACUCCUACGGGAGGCAGCAGUGGGGAAUAGUGCACAAUGGGCGCAAGCCUGAUGCAGCGACGCCGCGGGAGGGAUGGAGGCCUGCGGGUUGUGAACCUCUUUCGCCAGUGAAGCAGGCCUGCCUCGUUUGUGGGUGGGUUGACGGUAGCUGGAUAAGAAGCGCCGGCUAACUACGUG
rnacentral:rRNA from 1 species